GAGGGUAUAGCUCAGUGGUAGAGUGCAUGCCUAGCAUGCACAUGGUUCUGGGUUCAAUCCCCAGUACCUCCA
rnacentral:tRNA from 1 species